rnacentral:rRNA from 1 species
GAAACAAUCCCUUCGGGGUGCGUUUCUGGGCGACGAGUGGCGGACGGGUGAGUAAUACGUAGGAAUCUGCCCAGUAGUGGGGGACAACCCGAGGAAACUCGGGCUAAUACCGCAUACGCCCUACGGGGGAAAGCGGGGGAUCUUCGGACCUCGCGCUAUUGGAUGAGCCUACGUCGGAUUAGCUUGUUGGUGGGGUAACGGCCUACCAAGGCGACGAUCCGUAGCUGGUCUGAGAGGACGAUCAGCCACACUGGGACUGAGACACGGCCCAGACUCCUACGGGAGGCAGCAGUGGGGAAUAUUGGACAAUGGGGGAAACCCUGAUCCAGCAAUGCCGCGUGUGUGAAGAAGGCCUGCGGGUUGUAAAGCACUUUCAGUAGGGAGGAAAAGCAGCGGGUUAAUAACCCGAUGCCUUGACGUUACCUACAGAAGAAGCACCGGCUAACUCUGUGCCAGCAGCCGCGGUAAUACAGAGGGUGCAAGCGUUAAUCGGAAUUACUGGGCGUAAAGCGCGCGUAGGCGGUUUGGUCAGUCGGAUGUGAAAGCCCCNGGGCUUAACCUGGGAUU